rnacentral:misc_RNA from 1 species
GGAAAUUGUCCUUUGCUCAUAAUGGCGACUCUGGAUUCCGGAAACAAACAUUAAUAGACCAACUCGGAAAGAAGGCCACUUUGAAAGAUUUUGACUACCCUCUGCAUCUAAAUUUAUUAAAAGGAACACCCUUCUUACUUUUCAAAGUUCUUUUAGCAUUAUGAGCUUACUUAUUUUUCCUUAUAUCCAUUAUCUCCCAAAAAAGGUUGUCCCACCCUCUCAGCCCUGAUUAUUACCAUUACAAUUAUUGCUUCCAACAUUUUCCUCAAUUCUUUGAGUAUGCGUACAAGGAUAUUAACUUUUCAGUAUAACCAAGUUUUGGGCAGCUUCUGUUGAUCAGACGGCCACUAUUGGACUCCCCUGGUGUUGUGAUGCCGACCUGUGGUGCGUUCCUCCUUUCUGGUCUAGGGAGAUGUCACAGAAUCCCUUAGAUUAGGGUUUCUGCUCCGGGGAAUUUAGAAAGAAAAGGAGA